rnacentral:rRNA from 1 species
GACGAACGCUGGCGGCGUGCUUAACACAUGCAAGUCGAACGGAAAGGCCCUGCUUUUGUGGGGUGCUCGAGUGGCGAACGGGUGAGUAACACGUGAGUAACCUGCCCUUGACUUUGGGAUAACUUCAGGAAACUGGGGCUAAUACCGGAUAGGAGCUCCUGCUGCAUGGUGGGGGUUGGAAAGUUUCGGCGGUUGGGGAUGGACUCGCGGCUUAUCAGCUUGUUGGUGGGGUAGUGGCUUACCAAGGCUUUGACGGUUAGCCGGCCUGAGAGGGUGACCGGCCAAAUGGGGACUGGGGUACGGCACGGAUCCCAAGGGGAGGAGCAAGGGGGGAAAAUGACACAAUGGGGGAAGGCGUGAGGAAGCAAGGCCGCGGGGGGGAGAACGCCCUUCGGGUGGGAAACCGCUUUGGCCGGUGAAGAAGCGUAAGGGAGGGUAAUGGGUAAAGAAGCACGGACAACUACGUG